rnacentral:rRNA from 1 species
UACAGAGGUCUCAAGCGUUGUUCGGAUUCAUUGGGCGUAAAGGGUGCGUAGGCGGCGCGGUAAGUCGGGUGUGAAAUCUUGGAGCUUAACUCCGAAACUGCAUUCGAUACUGCCGUGCUUGAGGACUGGAGAGGAGACUGGAAUUUACGGUGUAGCGGUGAAAUGCGUAGAUAUCGGAAGGAAGACCAGUGGCGAAGGCGGGUCUCUGGACAGUUCCUGACGCUGAAGCACGAAGGCGAGGGGAGCAAACGGG